UACGGGGGGUGCAAGCGUUAUUCGGAAUCACUGGGCGUAAAGCGCGCGCAGGCGGCCGUUUAAGUCAGAUGUGAAAGCCCGGGGCUCAACCCCGGAAGUGCAUUUGAUACUAUUAGGCUUGAGUAUGGGAGAGGGAAGUGGAAUUCCUGGUGUAGAGGUGAAAUUCGUAGAUAUCAGGAGGAACACCGGUGGCGAAGGCGACUUCCUGGACCAAUACUGACGCUGAGGCGCGAAGGCGUGGGGAGCAAACAGG
rnacentral:rRNA from 1 species